CCCCACCACUCACGGGGUAAAGAUUGCCUAAAGAAGCCCGGUAUUGUAUAGAAUGACUAGGUUUUCUAUACAAUCCCUGAAUUAUACACAUGGCCUUUCAAGGUGUAUUUAUUUCUGGUGGUACAAUUACUGGCAGAAGCAGGAAUUUUGUGGAUGUUUAUUUCCGUUCGUGAAAUAUACGUUCUUUUAUCAAAGAGACAAAAUGCAACUUUAUUCGUAGCCUUUGCAAUCCCAUUCUUUACUUACGUUACGCUGAGUUACUGGUCUGUGUCGUUGCAACGCAAAGUGCCAUUCAACUACAUAUUUCUCUUUAUUUGGACGCUGCCCAUUGGUUUCACAUAUGGAUGCUUCUCAAACUACAAUGGAAUCGACACCACAUUACAAUUGAGCUCAGGCCACACAGAGAUGGUAUAGAGGGAAAAAGGGUCCGGGACGGUCCUGCGGGAAACGAAUGCGUGCCGGGGCAUGCCACACACCAGUCCCAAACGUAGUUCCCGGCGGAAUAGCGGAGCGAAGGCGGCCAGAGUGACACCAAAAGCAGCUACGUUUCAUUGUCUACAC